CUCGGAGUUUGAUCCUGGCUCAGAUUGAACGCUGGCGGAAUGCUUUACGCAUGCAAGUCGAACGAUAGAGGGGGCAACCCCUCGAGAGUGGCGAACGGGUGAGUAAUAUAUCGGAACGUGCCCAGUCGUGGGGGAUAACGUAGCGAAAGUUACGCUAAUACCGCAUACGAUCUAAGGAUGAAAGCGGGGGACUCGCAAGAGCCUCGCGCGAUUGGAGCGGCCGAUAUCAGAUUAGGUAGUUGGUGGGGUAAAGGCUCACCAAGCCAACGAUCUGUAGCUGGUCUGAGAGGACGACCAGCCACACUGGAACUGAGACACGGUCCAGACACCUACGGGGUGCAGCAGUUUUGAAUCGUUCAC
rnacentral:rRNA from 1 species